AGUGAACGCUGGCGGUAGGCCUAACACAUGCAAGUCGAACGGCAGCACAGUAAGAGCUUGCUCUUACGGGUGGCGAGUGGCGGACGGGUGAGGAAUACAUCGGAAUCUACUUUUUCGUGGGGGAUAACGUAGGGAAACUUACGCUAAUACCGCAUACGACCUACGGGUGAAAGCAGGGGAUCUUCGGACCUUGCGCGAUUGAAUGAGCCGAUGUCGGAUUAGCUAGUUGGCGGGGUAAGGGCCCACCAAGGCGACGAUCCGUAGCUGGUCUGAGAGGAUGAUCAGCCACACUGGAACUGAGACACGGUCCAGACUCCUACGGGAGGCAGCAGUGGGGAAUAUUGGACAAUGGGCGCAAGCCUGAUCCAGCCAUACCGCGUGGGUGAAGAAGGCCUUCGGGUUGUAAAGCCCUUUUGUUGGGAAAGAAACGCAGCAGGUUAAUACCCCGCUGUUCUGACGGUACCCAAAGAAUAAGCACCGGCUAACUUCGUG
rnacentral:rRNA from 1 species